UACGGAGGGGGCUAGGCGUUGUUCGGAAUUUACUGGGCGUAAAGCGUGCGUAGGUGGUUUUUUAAGUCUGCUGUGAAAGCCUGGGACCUCAACCUGGGAAUGGGCGGUGGAUACUGAAAAGCUAAGAGUGCGGUAGGAGGAGGGUGGGGAAUUCCCGGUGUAGCGGUGAAAUGCGUAGAGAAUCGGGAGGAACAUCAGUGGC
rnacentral:rRNA from 1 species